AGCCUUAUGUUAUGUAACAACAUCUUCAUAUAAGGUUACUUCUGCCCUAUGGCUCAUGCUAAAUGGCCGCAGUACCCUGACUGUGCAAAGGUAGCAUAAUAACUUGGCUUUUAAUUGGAGUCUGGAAUGAAAGAAGACUUUGGGUAAAAUCUUUCCCAAUAUUUUUAUUUUAAAAUUACUUAGUAAGUGAAAAUUCUUACAAAUUAAAUAAUAGACGAGAAGACCCUAAGAGCUCAUAAGAAAAAAAUAAAAGUUUAACGUGAAUUUUAUUUUUGUUAAUUAGUUAUUUCUUGUUUUUGCUGGGGCGGCAAUUUUUUAUAAUCAAAAAUUUAACAAGUUAUACAGGAAGAUAUAAUAGUAAGUAAGAUUAAGCUACCUUAGGGAUAACAGCAUAAUUUACUUUUAAGAUUGUGACCUCGAUGUUGGACUAGGUAAAUUUGUUAACAGAAUUAACAAUUUUCUGUUCUGUUCGAACAUUUUACACCU
rnacentral:rRNA from 1 species